rnacentral:rRNA from 1 species
AGAGUUUGAUCCUGGCUCAGGAUGAACGCUAGCUACAGGCUUAACACAUGCAAGUCGAGGGGCAGCAUGGUCUUAGCUUGCUAAGGCCGAUGGCGACCGGCGCACGGGUGAGUAACACGUAUCCAACCUGCCGUCUACUCUUGGACAGCCUUCUGAAAGGAAGAUUAAUACAAGAUGGCAUCAUGAGUCCGCAUGUUCACAUGAUUAAAGGUAUUCCGGUAGACGAUGGGGAUGCGUUCCAUUAGAUAGUAGGCGGGGUAACGGCCCACCUAGUCUUCGAUGGAUAGGGGUUCUGAGAGGAAGGUCCCCCACAUUGGAACCGAGACACGGUCCAAACUCCUACGGGAGGCAGCAGUGAGGAAUAUUGGUCAAUGGGCGAGAGCCUGAACCAGCCAAGUAGCGUGAAGGAUGACUGCCCUAUGGGUUGUAAACUUCUUUUAUAAAGGAAUAAAGUCGGGUAUGGAUACCCGUUUGCAUGUACUUUAUGAAUAAGGAUCGGCUAACUCCGUGCCAGCAGCCGCGGUAAUACGGAGGAUCCGAGCGUUAUCCGGAUUUAUUGGGUUUAAAGGGAGCGUAGAUGGAUGUUUAAGUCAGUUGUGAAAGUUUGCGGCUCAACCGUAAAAUUGCAGUUGAUACUGGAUAUCUUGAGUGCAGUUGAGGCAGGCGGAAUUCGUGGUGUAGCGGUGAAAUGCUUAGAUAUCACGAAGAACUCCAAUUGCGAAGGCAGCCUGCUAAGCUGCAACUGACAUUGAGGCUCGAAAGUGUGGGUAUCAAACAGGAUUAGAUACCCUGGUAGUCCACACGGUAAACGAUGAAUACUCGCUGUUUGCGAUAUACUGCAAGCGGCCAAGCGAAAGCGUUAAGUAUUCCACCUGGGGAGUACGCCGGCAACGGUGAAACUCAAAGGAAUUGACGGGGGCCCGCACAAGCGGAGGAACAUGUGGUUUAAUUCGAUGAUACGCGAGGAACCUUACCCGGGCUUAAAUUGCAGAUGAAUUACGGUGAAAGCCGUAAGCCGCAAGGCAUCUGUGAAGGUGCUGCAUGGUUGUCGUCAGCUCGUGCCGUGAGGUGUCGGCUUAAGUGCCAUAGCGAGCGCAACCCUUGUUGUCAGUUACUAACAGGUUCUGCUGAGGACUCUGACAAGACUGCCAUCGUAAGAUGUGAGGAAGGUGGGGAUGACGUCAAAUCAGCACGGCCCUUACGUCCGGGGCUACACACGUGUUACAAUGGGGGGUACAGAGGGCCGCUACCACGCGAGUGGAUGCCAAUCCCAAAAACCUCUCUCAGUUCGGACUGGAGUCUGCAACCCGACUCCACGAAGCUGGAUUCGCUAGUAAUCGCGCAUCAGCCACGGCGCGGUGAAUACGUUCCCGGGCCUUGUACACACCGCCCGUCAAGCCAUGGGAGCCGGGGGUACCUGAAGUGCGUAACCGCGAGGAGCGCCCUAGGGUAAAACUGGUGACUGGGGCUAAGUCGUAACAAGGUAGCC